rnacentral:rRNA from 2 species
GACGGGUAGCCGGCCUGAGAGGGCGACCGGCCACACUGGGACUGAGACACGGCCCAGACUCCUACGGGAGGCAGCAGUGGGGAAUAUUGCACAAUGGGCGAAAGCCUGAUGCAGCGACGCCGCGUGAGGGAUGACGGCCUUCGGGUUGUAAACCUCUUUCAGCAGGGAAGAAGCGAAAGUGACGGUACCUGCAGAAGAAGCGCCGGCUAACUACGUGCCAGCAGCCGCGGUAAUACGUAGGGCGCAAGCGUUGUCCGGAAUUAUUGGGCGUAAAGAGCUCGUAGGCGGCUUGUCACGUCGGGUGUGAAAGCCCGGGGCUUAACCCCGGGUCUGCAUCCGAUACGGGCAGGCUAGAGUGUGGUAGGGGAGAUCGGAAUUCCUGGUGUAGCGGUGAAAUGCGCAGAUAUCAGGAGGAACACCGGUGGCGAAGGCGGAUCUCUGGGCCAUUACUGACGCUGAGGAGCGAAAGCGUGGGGAGCGAACAGGAUUAGAUACCCUGGUAGUCCACGCCGUAAACGUUGGGAACUAGGUGUUGGCGACAUUCCACGUCGUCGGUGCCGCAGCUAACGCAUUAAGUUC